rnacentral:misc_RNA from 1 species
GAUGAAGAACGUAGCGAAAUGCGAUAAGUAAUGUGAAUUGCAGAAUUCAGUGAAUCAUCGAAUCUUUGAACGCACAUUGCGCCCCCUGGUAUUCCGGGGGGCAUGCCUGUCCGAGCGUCAUUACAACCCUCAAGCUCAGCUUGGUAUUGGGCCCCGCCGCUCCGGCGGGCCCUAAAGUCAGUGGCGGUGCCGUCCGGCUCCGAGCGUAGUAAUUCUUCUCGCUCUGGAGGCCCGGUCGUGUGCUCGCCAGCAACCCCCAAUUUUUUUCAGGUUGACCUCGGAUCAGGUAGGGAUACCCGCUGAACUUAAGCAUAUCAAUAAGCGAGGA